CUGGUAAAAAGGAUCCAGCAGCUGCACCUGUAUUUAAAACAACAAUGUUCAAAAAGGAUUACAACCGUCGACAACAGGAACUAAAACCAACCCCGGAAAUAACCACACCAGAGAAUUAUCUUAGAGCCACCAGAUUAAAAAAGAAAUCCGGAGAACCAAAUAUCAGACAAACUGACGCCGAGAUAACUGGAGUAGAUGUUGUUACGUUUGGAUCCGAGUCUGGAUCUAGAUCUGGGAGUGCGAACACGACACCACGACCAGACACUACAAACGUCUUGAAACAACUUACACCCAUACCACCAGCAACGCCACCAACUAGAUCCGUUUUACGCUCAGCAGGUUCAGCAAAAGUGCAAGAACGUGUGAGUUUUGUUGAACCAAGUGUUACACCAAGUAAACAUUACGAUACAGAAUCAGUGAAAACCUGGGAUGAUUUAACUGAUGGUUUGGUAAAAUAUCCAGGAGAGAUGCCCAUCCUCGAAAAACUAAAAUCAAAAUCUGAAGGGAAAAUAUCAGAGGUGAAAUCGCAGAGCUUGGAAAAGAGAUCCGUCAGUGCUCCAAAAGAGAGACAUCGAGAAAUAUCAGUGUCUAAUCUACUAAAAGUUGAUCCAAAUCAGAAAAUUAUACCAAAUUAUUUGAAGAGGAAUAAAUAUGAC